CCUACGGGUGGCAGCAGUGAGGAAUAUUGGUCAAUGGGCGCGAGCCUGAACCAGCCAAGUCGCGUGAGGGAAGACGGCCCUACGGGUUGUAAACCUCUUUUGCCGGGGAGCAACGGGCGCCACGUGUGGCGCCACUGAGAGUACCCGGAGAAAAAGCAUCGGCUAACUACGUGCCAGCAGCCGCAGUACUACGGAGGAUGCGAGCGUUCUCCGGUUUGAUUGGGUUUAAGGGGUGCGUAGGCGGAGCGUUAAGUCAGUGGUCAAAUUGAGGGGCUCAACCCCUUCCCGCCAUUGAAACUGGCGCUCUUGAGUGGAAGAGAAGUAGGCGGAAUGCGUGGUGUAGCGGUGAAAGGCAUAGAUAUCACGCAGAACCCCGAUUGCGAAGGCAGCAUGCCGGCUUCCUACUGACGCUGAAGCACGAAAGCGUGGGGAUCGAACAGGAUUAGAUACCCUGGUAGUC
rnacentral:rRNA from 1 species